CUCUUCUUGAAUAUAUUAUGAUGUAUGGCCUGCCCACUGAGUGUUGAAGGGCCGCGGUAUUUUGACCGUGCAAAGGUAGCAUAAUCAUUAGUCUUUUAAUUGUAGGCUGGAAUGAAUGGUUUGACGAGGUGUAAACUGUCUUUAAUUUAUUUGUUGAAUUUAAAUUUUAGGUUAAAAUGCCUAAAUUUUUUUUUGGGACGAGAAGACCCUAUAGAGUUUUAUAUGUUUUUAUUUUUUUGUGUGAUAAUUUUAAAUUUAAUAAUUUAUUUUGUUGGGGUGAUGGAAAGAUUUAAUUAACUCUUUUUAUUUUUUUAUAUUUAUUUAUAUGUAUUUGAUCCAUUUUUGUUGAUUAUAAGGCUAAAUUACC
rnacentral:rRNA from 1 species